CUCGCCGCGUGAGGAUGAAGGCCUCUGGGCUGUAAACCUCUUUUAUCAAGGAAGAAGAUCUGACGGUACUUGAUGAAUAAGCCACGGCUAAUUCCGUGCCAGCAGCCGCGGUAAUACGGGAGUGGCAAGCGUUAUCCGGAAUUAUUGGGCGUAAAGCGUCCGCAGGCGGUCUUGUAAGUCUGUCGUUAAGGCGUGGAGCUUAACUCCAUUUGAGCGAUGGAAACUGCAAGACUAGAGUGUGGUAGGGGCAGAGGGAAUUCCCGGUGUAGCGGUGAAAUGCGUAGAUAUCGGGAAGAACACCAGUGGCGAAGGCGCUCUGCUGGGCCAUAACUGACGCUCAUGGACGAAAGCCAGGGGAGCGAAAGGGAUUAGAUACCCCUGUAGUCCUGGCCGUAAACGAUGAACACUAGGUGUCGGGGGAAUCGACCCCCUCGGUGUCGUAGCCAACGCGUUAAGUGUUCCGCCUGGGGAGUACGCACGCAAGUGUGAAACUCAAAGGAAUUGACGGGGGCCCGCACAAGCGGUGGAGUAUGUGGUUUAAUUCGAUGCAACGCGAAGAACCUUACCAGCGUUUGACAUCCUGCGAAUCCCUUGGAAACGA
rnacentral:rRNA from 1 species